CGGACGGGUGAGUAAUGUCUGGGAGACUGCCUGAUGGAGGGGGAUAACUACUGGAAACGGUAGCUAAUACCGCAUAACGUCGCAAGACCAAAGAGGGGGACCUUCGGGCCUCUUGCCAUCGGAUGUGCCCAGAUGGGAUUAGCUAGUAGGUGGGGUAACGGCUCACCUAGGCGACGAUCCCUAGCUGGUCUGAGAGGAUGACCAGCCACACUGGAACUGAGACACGGUCCAG
rnacentral:rRNA from 2 species